ACAGAAGGUGCAAGCGUUAGUCGGAAUUACUGGGCGUAAAGGGUGCGUAGGCGGAGAUGUAAGUCGGACGUGAAAUCCCGGGGCUCAACCCCGGAACUGCGUACGAAACUACAUCCCUUGGGGAAUGGCGGAGAAAAUGGAAUUCCAUAUGUAGCGGUGAAAUGCGUAGAUAUAUGGAAGAACACCUGUGGCGAAAGCGGUUUUCUAGACUUCUCCCGACGCUGAGGCACGAAAGCAAGGGGAGCAAACAG
rnacentral:rRNA from 1 species